AGUCAUAUGCUUGUCUCAAAGACUAAGCCAUGCAUGUCCAAGUACACGCCUUCACACGGCGAGACUGCGAAUGGCUCAUUAAAUCAGUUAUGGUUCCUUAGAUCGUACAAUCCUACUUGGAUAACUGUGGCAAUUCUAGAGCUAAUACAUGCAACGAAGUUCCGACCCCGCGAGGGGAAAGAGCGCUUUUGUUAGCCCAGACCAACGCGGUCGCUCUCGGGCGGCCGUAACCAGUGGUGACUCUGGACAACUUUGUGCCGAUCGCACGGCCCUGGUGCCGGCGACGUAUCUUUCAAGUGUCUGCCCUAUCAACUGUCGAUGGUACGUGCUAUGCCUACCA
rnacentral:rRNA from 1 species